rnacentral:rRNA from 1 species
UACGUAGGGUGCAAGCGUUUGUCCGGAAUUAUUGGGCGUAAAGAGCUCGUAGGCGGUUUGUCGCGUCUGCUGUGAAACGCGAGGCUCAACCUCGCGCCUGCAGUGGGUACGGGCAGACUAGAGUGCGGUAGGGAGAUUGGAAUUCCUGGUGUAGCGGUGGAAUGCGCAGAUAUCAGGAGGAACACCGAUGGCGAGGCAGAUCGUCUGGCCGUAACUGACGCUGAGGAGCGAAAGCGUGGAGCGAACAGG